GGAGCUAUAGGGAGGGACACCAAUCCAGCCUUAGGAAAAGAAACCUGCCACGGGAGUUUUGGAUAUUGGCGACUGUCCUAAUGACUUA
rnacentral:pre_miRNA from 1 species